rnacentral:snoRNA from 1 species
UUUGGUGCUCGUGAUGACUUGAGACUUUUUUCCCCAUCUGAGCGGAAAUGUUGAAUUCUUUGUUAUUAGCCAGAACUCGUCUGACUGCACCAAU